rnacentral:rRNA from 1 species
UCCGGCUUUUGGUUUUUCUGGAUCCCUUAAGAAAUUUCGGGAUACUAGAGAGAUAUCUGGUUCCGGUUUGUAACCCCACGCACUUCCACUAGCACUUCUCGGACGCCGCAGCCGGUUGGGUUGAUAGUAUCCGUCGGCCAUGAGGUCGGACGAUGGCAGGUGGCCGGCGAAACUCUUAACGAUUUUCGUCGGUCGUUAGCCGGUUCCGUCCGUGGCGCGACGCCCGACCGAGGCAAUAAUUGGCCUUCCCCUCCUAUGCCGUCAAAAGCGUAGAAGAGCGGGCCGGCAGACAGGUGCACUGCUGCGAUGUUCGCUUUCAGUCUUUCGCACUGGGCGGCUCGCAGUUUAUCACCGCUAGUCUACACGGUCCCGCGAGGGAUAUGGUUGGCUGGCGGCGAGUAGGUCGGUCACCCACCCGACCCGUCUUGAAACACGGACCAAGGAGUCUAACAUGUGCGCGAGUCAAGGGGUCUUGAUUCAGGCCCAGAGGCGCAAUGAAAGUGUUCCUAGGUCGGGAUUCCCAAGACUUGAUCCNNCACGGUGAGAGUCCGACGGAAGCACCGACGACCCGCCCCGUUCUAUAUUUUAGAUGGGGCGGAGUCAGAGCACACACGUUGGGACCCGAAAGAUGGUGAACUAUGCCUGGGCAGGACGAAGCCAGAGGAAACUCUGGUGGAGGUCCGCAGCA